GAUAAACGCUGGCGGCGUGCAUGAGACAUGCAAGUCGAACGAACAACCCCGGGCUUGCCUGGGGGCGUUAGUGGCGAACGGCUGAGUAACGCGUGGGUGACCUGCCCGAAAGUGGGGAAUAACUGCCCGAAAGGGUGGCUAAUACCGCAUGUGGCCAUACGUUCAUUCGUAUGACCAAAGCCGCAAGGCGCUUUCGGAGGGGCCUGCGUUCGAUUAGCUCGUUGGUGGGGUAACGGCUCACCAAGGCGACGAUCGAUAGGUGGUCUGAGAGGAUGAUCACCCAGACUGGGACUGAGACACGGCCCAGACUCCUACGGGAGGCUG
rnacentral:rRNA from 1 species